UGAUGCACUUUUCCGCCAUUUUAGCGGUGCUUACUGUACUUAUAAACAGUAGUCUCGCCAAACCAACACAACAUUCGUCCUGGGCGUCAUGGUCAAGUUGGUCAUCUGGCGGAAAAACAUAUA